CCCCGUGUUGGGAAUAGUGUCCCAAAGCCAAUCGUCAGCCUGUUGACGGUUGUGCUCUUUCCUGUAUUAGUACAUGAAUUAUAAAUAAAUAAAAGUUAUUUUGGCAUUUUUCAUCACAAAUUGUUUCAUCUUCUAAUGAACUCCUGUGUUGUGGUGAAGUCCUUAGGACUAUUUAGACUCGACAAAGGAGGAUUUGUCGUUUAGUCCUUAAACCUGUUCGCGACCAAACGAUACGUUGUUACUAAGGACAACAACGUUUAUCAAGCAUA
rnacentral:lncRNA from 1 species